UGCCAGCCGCCGCGGUAAUACGGAGGGGGUUAGCGUUGUUCGGAAUUACUGGGCGUAAAGCGCGCGUAGGCGGAUCAGAAAGUUGGGGGUGAAAUCCCGGGGCUUAACCCCGGAACUGCCCUCAAAACUGUCGAUCUAGAGACCGGGAGAGGUAAGCGGAAUUCCUAGUGUAGAGGUGAAAUUCGUAGAUAUUAGGAAGAACACCAGUGGCGAAGGCGGCUUACUGGACCGGUACUGACGCUGAGGUACGAAAGUGUGGGGAGCAAACAGGAUUAGAUA
rnacentral:rRNA from 1 species